GAUGAACGCUGGCGGCGUGCCUAAUACAUGCAAGUCGAGCGAACAGACGAGGAGCUUGCUCCUCUGACGUUAGCGGCGGACGGGUGAGUAACACGUGGAUAACCUACCUAUAAGACUGGGAUAACUUCGGGAAACCGGAGCUAAUACCGGAUAAUAUAUUGAACCGCAUGGUUCAAUAGUGAAAGACGGUUUUGCUGUCACUUAUAGCUGGAUCCGCGCCGCAUUAGCUAGUUGUUAAGGUAACGGCUUACCAAGGCGACGAUGCGUAGCCGACCUGAGAGGGUGAUCGGCCACACUGGAACUGAGACACGGUCCAGACUCCUACGGGAGGCAGCAGUAGGGAAUCUUCCGCAAUGGGCGAAAGCCUGACGGAGCAACGCCGCGUGAGUGAUGAAGGUCUUCGGAUCUUAAAACUCUGUUAUUAGGGAAGAACAAAUGUGUAAGUAACUAUGCACGUCUUGACGGUACCUAAUCAGAAAGCCACGGCUAACUACGUG
rnacentral:rRNA from 1 species